UUGUUGUUGCCUUUCGCAGGCAACCGUGAUGUUCGUUGCUUAGGGGAGCCUGCGGCUUGGCCAUAUACCGAGGUGACACCAAUAUGAUGAGCGGUAAAAUGGCUUCUAUUCACUACUAAAACACAGCUUAUAUACAUUUUUACCUACAAAACUGUGCUGUCAUGUCCCACUCUGAUUGGUUCAUACCAGACAACACCGUGCCCUAUUUGGCCGUCUCCACAUUCUUUUCUCAUUCUUCUUCUUCUCCUGUUUUCUCUGCAUCAAGGUCAGCACGAUAGCACUGUCUCUCUAUGCUUAGGGAGAGGCCUGUCCCGUACAUCCCGUGCCCCCGCAAGACGCCUACUACAACAACUGUUUUCCACACUAUGAAAACAAGGUGAUGUUUGUGUAGAAGAGCUCAUACAGAAACCACAGAGCAUUUAAUUAAGCUAGAAAAUCAGAAGAUGAACCAGCUGUUAACCAUAAAAAGCAGAAGACUG
ensembl:lncRNA